rnacentral:rRNA from 1 species
GGCCGCGGUAUCCUAACCGUGCGAAGGUAGCGUAAUCACUUGUUCUUUAAAUGCGGACUAGUAUGAAUGGCACUACGAGGGUUAUACUGUCUCCUUUUUCUAAUCAGUGAAACUAAUUUUCCCGUGAAGAAGCGGGGAUACAACUAUAAGACGAGAAGACCCUAUGGAGCUUUAAACAACCCAGCAAUUACUUCUAAAAUUAUAAAUUUCAGAAUAUUCAUUUUUAAGUUAUAUGUCUGCAAGUUUUUGGUUGGGGUGACCAUGGAGAAUAACAUAACCUCCAUAUUGAAUGAAUUCCCUUCUAAGCUGAAAAUUACCAAUUGAAGCAUCAACAUACUGACAUCUAUUGACCCAAUAUAUUUGAUCAAUGAACCAAGUUACCCUAGGGAUAACAGCGCAAUCCACUUCAAGAGCCCCUAUCGACAAGUGGGUUUACGACCUCGAUGUUGGAUCAGGGUAUCCCAGUGGCGCAGCCGCUACUAAAGGUUCGUUUGUUCAACGAUUAAAACCCUACGUGA